rnacentral:rRNA from 1 species
CCUACGGGUGGCAGCAGUGGGGAAUAUUGGACAAUGGGGGAAACCCUGAUCCAGCGACGCCGCGUGAGUGAAGAAGGAUUUCGGUACGUAAAGCUCUAUCAGCAGGAAAGAAAAGGACGGUACCUGACUAAGAAGCCCCGGCUAACGACGUGCCAGCAGCCGCGGUAAUACGUAGGGGGCAAGCGUUAUCCGGAUUGACGGGGGGUAAAGGGAGCGUAGACGGCAGCGCAAGUCGGGAGUGAAAUGCCGGGGCCCAACCCCGGAACGGCUCUGGAAACUGUGAAGCUGGAGUGCAGGAGAGGUAAGCGGAAUUCCUGGUGUCGCUGUUCCAUGCGUCGCUAUCAG